rnacentral:rRNA from 1 species
GGAAUUUUUCGCAAUGGGGGAAACCCUGAUCCAGCGACGCCGCGUGACCGAUGAAGGCCCUCGGGUCGUAAAGGUCUUUCGACGGGGAAAAUAGUGAUGGUACCCGUAUAAGAAGGAGCGGCUAACUCCGUGCCCGCAGCCGCGGUAAUACGUAGGCUCCAAGCGUUGUUCGGAAUUACUGGGCGUAAAGCGAGUGUAGGCGGUCCGUCAAGUCGGCUGUGAAAUCUCCUGGCUCAACUAGGAGGGUGCGGCCGAAACUGACGGACUGGAGUCCGGGAGAGGAGAGUGGAAUUCCUGGUGUAGCGGUGAAAUGCGUAGAUAUCAGGAGGAACACCGGUGGUGAAGACGGCUCUCUGGACCGGUACUGACGCUGAGACUCGAAAGCGUGGGGAGCAAAC